AUGCUUCCUGCUUUAACCACUAUGGAAUGGGCUGUUAGGAAGCCACCUUGGAACAAGAUCGCCGAGGCAAAGAGUUUGAGGAAUGUAUCUCAUCUCUCAUCCCUUCUCUGCCUGCUUCUGGCUGCCAAGAGGUUCCCCCGGCUUUCCGUCCAUUCCUAAUUGUGACUGUUGCUUGCCGUCAUGCCUCUCUCCUCCAGCAUGGACUCUAACCCUCUAGAAACUUCAUAUUUCACCUCAGACUAUGAGGAGGAAACAACGAAGUCAUAGAGUCCGUCUGCCUUUGCUGAUUCCCCAGCUAUCAGCGGCACAAUUUUCACAUGAGGCUUUCUGAGCCCCUGAAAACCGCGCUGCUUCACGCCCGUCUCUUUGUGGAUUCCAUCUGGAGAGCCAACAUGAUCACUGCCUCUUCGUGGAGUGUCAGCCUCGCAGUGUUUUACUGAUACAGAGAAACUCCUGUGAAUGGAAUAAAAGCCUCGAAAUCCAGAAUGCUCACUCCCCAUGUGAGGCCACAGCACCGGAUCAUAGCAGCAACAGCUGUGGGCCGAGAGGGCGUGGUUACCGGGAAGGUCUGUUGAGUGUCUUAAAUACUCUUCCCUUAGAUGUCUUCAUACAUUUUAAAGGAGUGAGCUAGCAGCAGUUAUAUUUUUUAUUAUUUUUUUUGAGAUUAUAAUCACAUCAUUUCCCCCUUCCCUUUCCACCCUCUGAGCCUUCCCAUAUACCCCUCUUUGCUCACUUUCAAGAAAAUGGUCCCCCUUCCUCUAUUAACUGUCAUUUCAUGCAAAUAUGUUUAUGCAUAUAUAUUACUAAACAUACAAAUACAA
ensembl:lincRNA 1700047G03Rik RIKEN cDNA 1700047G03 gene